rnacentral:rRNA from 1 species
CCAGCCACCGSGGUUAUAMGAAAGACUCCAGUUGACAGGCACGGUGUAAAGAGUGGUUAAGAAGUAUUACUAAUAAAGCCAAACACUCUCCAAGCCGUUAUACGCACUCUGAGAACACGAAGCCCAAACACGAAAGUAGCUUUAAACCUGUUAUACCUGAACCCACGAAAGCCAAGAAACAAACUAGGAUUAGAUACCCCAC